UAUAUAAAUUUUCAAUUGUGUGGUUAUUUUUGUGUGAUUGUCAUUUGAAAUUACUCAUAAUCUUUCUUCGAAAGUAGUGGGAUUGAUCCACAAUUGUGUGUUUUGUUAUUCUUGUUCUCUAAUCAAAACAAAACACAAUCGCUUAAGAUUUUUGAAGAAAACGUGUAAGGUUGAUUUUGUGUGAUCACGUUCUGUAUUCUAAACCUUUUCUUCAUGUGUUACAAUAUUGAUCGAUAUUGUGUGUUCUGUUACUUCCUUGCAAGCCACCAAAAUAGUUUGAAUUUUCGAAGUAAAAUUGUUGGUGGAUCUUAUGCGUUUCCUUCACGAAUAGGCAUUUGCGUCUUUCAAGAUUGCUUAUCACGCUCUUCAUCAGUUGGGGCUUCUCUAGCUAGCUCUUCGACAGUUGCAGCUUCUCCAGCAAGCUGUGCAUCACCUCUUGCCACCUGUGUUGCUGCAGCUUUUCAGCCAAGCUUGUUACACAAGUUCUGCAAUCUUAAGAGGUGUAGAGUGUUUGAUUGCGUUUGUGCAAAUUAAUCUGCGUUUUGUCAACGAAACAGAAGAGGUAUGACAAUUCUUCAAUCUCUGUUUUCCAGUGUUUGCUUCAUUGAACAUUUUUUUUUAGAUAUCUGUUUGAGGUUGGUUAGUGGCUGUAUUGACUUUAAUUUCUUCUUGUUGAAACUGUUCAUGAGUUUGUAUUUGGGGAUGAACUUCUUCUUUUUUGACAUUUGGUAUAAUCCCUGCCCACCAAGUGUUUGAUUCUAUUGUUCAAGUGAGAAAUUUAUCACUGUUCUUGGGUUUGUGUUUUGGGAUGAAGUUCUUCUUUUUUGACAUUUUUUAAAAUUCCUGCCCACCAAUUGUUUGAUUCUAUGUUCAAGUGAGAAAUUUAUCACUGUUCGUGGGUUUGUGUUUUGGGAUGAAGUUCUUUUUUGACAUUUUUUAUAAUUUCUGCCCACCAAUUGUUGGAUUCUAUGUUAAAUUUAUUGGAAACAUUGGAUCAUUGGAUGACGAAGCUAAGUAUUUCCCGUCGUGUGAAAAUUGCAAGAACCAGACUUCAUCAUAGUAUUCUUGUAAUAGCUGUCAUAAGAAGUAACAGAAAAUAAACAACGAACUCCAAGGGAUAGAUGAAGGCAUAUUUCAAAUCAAUAAACUAUGUAAUCAGGACAAAAUAAAAUAAAAUUCAGAGACCUCUGUGUGGUGCUUCUCCAGCAAGCCGUUGUUGAAGCAGUGCUAUUUGUUUGCUGGCUUAUUUGCCUCUGAAAGAGUUCCCCAUGUGCUGCAAGACAAAAACAGUGAAUCGGCGUAGAAAAUGAUCUAUAUAUAUACUCUUUGCUGUUUGGAUUUCACCAUGUCUAGGAAACCAGACAAUCUGAUCAGCUGCCAAUGCAAACAAUCUGGAAAACACCAAACUGGUUUUUCCAUUCCCAUGUAACAAAGUGAUACUUGCGAAAGGUUUAAAAUGUAAGAACCUUACGUACUAAAGUCAGGAUUUUGGUACUCUCUCAUGUUCCAAAGUAAGUUAUAAUAUCAUAGUUCAGUUGGGUUCUAAUAACUUUUGUGAAUCUUCCCAGUUCUCCUAUUCCCCCUUUUUGUUUUUUGACAACAAUCCAUAUCAAUGAUAUAUUUUUCGAUUCAAUCAAAGGAAUAAAGACAGUCGAGAAAAAAAUAUACAAUCUUUGAAAACUCACAACACGGAAGUAGAAAUAUUUAGUGUGAAACAUAUCAUUAAGAAAGACUUGAGUGACUAUGCAUAGCCACCAAUGGAAA